GGGACCACACUUAACAAAAGGAAGCAAGAAGGCAGAUAACGGCAAAGAAAAAUGUUUGUAGUUUACUGUGGAGGACCAAGUGAGUUUAUACAGAUGUUUAUCUCCUUUAGGAUUAUUUCCUGCUGGCUAGAAUGAAAAGACAAACGUUCCCUUCAAACAGUAUGCCAUUGCCUAAUAAUUUUGCAAACUCAAAUGAAAUCCAAACCAAAUUCAGAAUUUAGAUUUUCCUACUGGCUUGUGUAAUUUUUGUUUGUAUGGGAUAGAAUCAGGUUCCAUCUUUUAUUCUCCUUCAGAAUAUCAUUAACAAAGAAAACUUUGAAUGUUAGCUGGUGGGAUACAUUGACACUGUUUACACAGCACUGUUUCCUACUCAGGCCUGCACACAAACAUUUGCACACAUUUUCAUGUAUGCACACUCCUGGGGAGGUCAAUGAAUAUUACAAUUCUUCUUCUGGAAAUAAUCCUUAGGAAUGAAUGAGCAAAAGACACAGUUUUCAACCCUAUUUUCUCUUCUCUUUCUCUCUUUUUCUUCCCUCUGUUCUCUCUCUCUCUCUCUCUCUUUUUCCUUCGUUUUAUUUUUUUCUUCCUGGAGAGGUUUCUGAAGUUCAACAGUGAUUUCUUUAAUUAAGAGGAAAAACAAAAACCACACAUACACACACUAGAGAACAAGAAGGAAUAGUAAACAGUUCCCUCCACUGCUAGAGGGGUUAGUUACAAAAUAAACAUUUCACAGACUGGACCACAUCUCCCAUAAUGAGACAGCUCUGGCUAGUGAGACUGCAACUAAAG
rnacentral:lncRNA from 1 species